rnacentral:lncRNA from 1 species
GGGGAAGUUCAAGAUAAGCUAUUAACCCUGGAAAUCAGAGGCUAAUGCUAUCAUACGAUUACAAUAAGUCUGUAAACUGCAAAUAUGUUAUCUAAGCGCAGCGAAAUCUGCCAUAAAUCAAGCGACUAACCCUGGAUAUCAGAAGUUAUCGCUACCAACGCAAAGUUUAAUAAAAAUCAGGAAAAAAAACAACAAACUAAUAAAUUUCUUUCCAAGUUAUCCAUUCAAUUUCUAUAUGCAUGCACGUCCACUCCUCGUCCAGGAUUAAUCUUUUUUCUUGAAAGAC